AAAUGAUAUUGAUCUUUUAGAGUUUCUUCAGCAGGUUUUAAAAAUCCUUAUCAGAGCCCCU
rfam:Lupinus angustifolius cultivar Tanjil chromosome LG18, whole genome shotgun sequence.